rnacentral:rRNA from 1 species
AGUGAACGCUGGCGGUAUGCCUAACACAUGCAAGUCGAACGGCAGCACAGUAAGAGCUCGCCCUUACGGGUGGCGAGUGGCGGACGGGUGAGGAAUACAUCGGCAUCUACUUUUUCGUGGGGGAUAACGUAGGGAAACUUACGCUAAUACCGCAUACGACCUACGGGUGAAAGCAAGGGAUCUUCGGACCUUUCGCGAUUGAAUGAGCCGAUGUCGGAUUAGCUAGUUGGCGGGGUAAAGGCCCACCAAGGCCACGAUCCGUAGCUGGUCUGAGAGGAUGAUCAGCCACACUGGAACUGAGACACGGUCCAGACUCCUACGGGAGGCAGCAGUGGGGAAUAUUCGACAAUGGGCGAAAGCCUGAUCGAGCAACACCGCGUGGGUGAAGAAGGCCUUCGGGUUGUAAAGCCCUUUUGUUAGGGAAGAAAAGCAGCAGGUUAAUCCCCCGAUGUUCUGACGGUACCUAAAGAAUAAGCACCGGCUAACUUCGUG